rnacentral:lncRNA from 1 species
UUUCUUGUGCUUUAGGAGUCUUGUUAAUGAAGUCAGGGCCUAAUCCAAUGUGAUAAUGAUUUGGGCCUACUUUUUCCUCUAUUUCGCAAAGGGUCUCUGGUUUAAUUCCUAGGUCUUUGAUUCACUAUGAGUUGAGUUUUGUGCAUGGUGAGAGAUAGGGGUUUAUUUUCAUUUUGCUGCCUAUGGAUUUCAAGUUUUCCCAGCACCAUUUGUUAACAAGGCUAUCUUUUCUCCAAUGUAUCUUUUUGGUAACUAUGUCUAGUAUGAGAUAACUGUGUUUAUGUGGUUUUUCUCUCUGUCUUCUAUUCUGUCCCAUUGGUCUACAUGUCUAUUUUG